rnacentral:rRNA from 1 species
UACGUAGGGUGCAAGCGUUAAUCGGAAUUACUGGGCGUAAAGCGUGCGCAGGCGGUUUUGUAAGUCUGACGUGAAAUCCCCGGGCUCAACCUGGGAAUUGCGUUGGAGACUGCAAGGCUGGAGUCUGGCAGAGGGGGGUAGAAUUCCACGUGUGAGCAGUGAAAUGCGUAGAGAUGUGGAGGAACACCGAUGGCGAAGGCAGCCCCCUGGGUCAAGACUGACGCUCAUGCACGAAAGCGUGGGGAGCAAACAAGG